CCAGAGAUGGAUUGGUGCCUUCGGGAGCUCAGACACAGGUGCUGCAUGGCUGUCGUCAGCUUGUGUCGUGAGAUGUUGGGUUAAGUCCCGUAACGAGCGCAACCCUUGUCCUUAGUUACCAGCACGUAAUGGUGGGCACUCUAAGGAGACUGCCGGUGACAAACCGGAGGAAGGUGGGGAUGACGUCAAGUCAUCAUGGCCCUUACGGCCAGGGCUACACACGUGCUACAAUGGUCGGUACAAAGGGUUGCCAAGCCGCGAGGUGGAGCUAAUCCCAUAAAACCGAUCGUAGUCCGGAUCGCAGUCUGCAACUUGACUGCGUGAAGUCGGAAUCGCUAGUAAUCGUGAAUCAGAAUGUCACGGUGAAUACGUUCCCGGGCCUUGUACACACCGCCCGUCACACCAUGGGAGUGGGUUGCUCCAGAAGUAGCUAGUCUAACCUCGGGGGGACGGUACCAUCGGAGGAUCAGUGGAG
rnacentral:rRNA from 1 species